rnacentral:rRNA from 1 species
GGUGAGUAACGCGUGAGAAUCUGGCUCCAGGUCGGGGAUAACAGUUGGAAACGACUGCUAAUACCGGAUGUGCCGAGAGGUGAAAGAUUUAUUGCCUGGAGAUGAGCUCGCGUCUGAUUAGCUAGUUGGUGGUGUAAGGGACCACCAAGGCAUCGAUCAGUAGCUGGUCUGAGAGGAUGAUCAGCCACACUGGGACUGAGACACGGCCCAGACUCCUACGGGAGGCAGCAGUGGGGAAUUUUCCGCAAUGGGCGAAAGCCUGACGGAGCAAUACCGCGUGAGGGAGGAAGGCUCUUGGGUCGUAAACCUCUUUUCUCAAGGAAGAAGAAAGUGACGGUACUUGAGGAAUAAGCAUCGGCUAACUCCGUGCCAGCAGCCGCGGUAAUACGGAGGAUGCAAGCGUUAUCCGGAAUGAUUGGGCGUAAAGGGUCUGCAGGUGGAACUGAAAGUCUGCUGUUAAAGAGUUUGGCUUAACCAAAUAAAAGCGGUGGAAACUACAGAACUAGAGUGCGGUAGGGGCAAAAGGAAUUCCUGGUGUAGCGGUGAAAUGCGUAGAUAUCAGGAAGAACACCGGUGGCGAAAGCGUUUUGCUAGACCGUAACUGACACUGAGGGACGAAAGCUAGGGGAGCGAAUGGGAUUAGAUACCCCAGUAGUCCUAGCCGUAAACGAUGGAUACUAGGCGUGGCUUGUAUCGACCCGAGCCGUGCCGGAGCUAACGCGUUAAGUAUCCCGCCUGGGGAGUACGCACGCAAGUGUGAAACUCAAAGGAAUUGACGGGGGCCCGCACAAGCGGUGGAGUAUGUGGUUUAAUUCGAUGCAACGCGAAGAACCUUACCAAGACUUGACAUCCUGCGAAUCCUGGUGAAAGCUGGGAGUGCCUUAGGGAGCGCAGAGACAGGUGGUGCAUGGCUGUCGUCAGCUCGUGUCGUGAGAUGUUGGGUUAAGUCCCGCAACGAGCGCAACCCUCGUUUUUAGUUGCCAGCAUUAAGUUGGGCACUCUAGAGAGACUGCCGGUGACAAACCGGAGGAAGGUGAGGAUGACGUCAAGUCAGCAUGCCCCUUACGUCUUGGGCUACACACGUACUACAAUGCUACGGACAGAGGGCAGCAAGCCAGGGAUGGCAAGCGAAUCCAGAAACCGUAGCUCAGUUCAGAUCGAAGGCUGCAACUCGCCUUCGUGAAGGAGGAAUCGCUAGUAAUUGCAGGUCAGCAUACUGCAGUGAAUUCGUUCCCGGGCCUUGUACACACCGCCCGUCACACCAUGGAAGUUGGUCACGCCCGAAGUCAUUACCCCAACCGAAAGGAGGGGGAUGCCUAAGGUAGGACUGGUGACUGGGGUGAAGUCGUAACAAGGU